UAUUUUAUGUGUUUAAAUAUUUUUUAUUAAAACAAAUAUUUAUAAGCUGUAUUUAUCAUAUUUAUAAUGUACUAAAGUAAAUAAAUAGUAAAUAAAUAAAAUAUUGUGAUGAUUAAGAAAUAUAUAUAAAAGAAAUAUAAAUUAAGAAGAAAAAACCUCAAUAAUUUAAUAACGAUAACAAUAUAAUCAUAAUUAUUUUUCUUACGAAAUUUU
rnacentral:lncRNA from 1 species